CGGGAAUCGAUUAGAGUUUGAUCCUGGCUCAGAUUGAACGCUGGCGGCAGGCUUAACACAUGCAAGUCGAGCGGGGGAGGUUACUUCGGUAACUGACCUAGCGGCGGACGGGUGAGUAACGCUUAGGAAUCUGCCUAUUAGUGGGGGACAACGUUCCGAAAGGAACGCUAAUACCGCAUACGCCCUACGGGGGAAAGCAGGGGAUCUUCGGACCUUGCGCUAAUAGAUGAGCCUAAGUCGGAUUAGCUAGUUGGUGGGGUAAAGGCCUACCAAGGCGACGAUCUGUAGCGGGUCUGAGAGGAUGAUCCGCCACACUGGGACUGAGACACGGCCCAGACUCCUACGUGAGGCAGCAGUGGGGAAUAUUGGACAAUGGGCGGAAGCCUGAUCCAGCCAUGCCGCGUGUGAAGAAGGCCUUUUGGUUGUAAAGCACUUUAAGCGAGGAGGAGGCUCCUUUAGUUAAUACCUAAAGAGAGUGGACGUUACUCGCAGAAUAAGCACCGGCUAACUCUGUGCCAGCAGCCGCGGUAAUACAGAGGGUGCGAGCGUUAAUCGGAUUUACUGGGCGUAAAGCGUGCCUAGGCGGCUUUUUAAGUCGGAUGUGAAAUCCCUGAGCUUAACUUAGGAAUUGCAUUCGAUACUGGAAAGCUAGAGUAUGGGAGAGGAUGGUAGAAUUCCAGGUGUAGCGGUGAAAUGCGUAGAGAUCUAGAGGAAUACCGAUGGCGAAGGCAGCCAUCUGGCCUAAUACUGACGCUGAGGUACGAAAGUAUGGGGAGCAAACAGGAUUAGAUACCCUGGUAGUCCAUGCCGUAAACGAUG
rnacentral:rRNA from 1 species